ensembl:lncRNA
AGGUUUGCUAGGCAGUUCUGAGUGGUUGCUAGGUGUUUUGAGGAGUUUCAGGCAGUUAUUGGGUGUUCUGAGUCAUUGCUAGUCACUUGCUCAGUGUUUUGAGAGGUUGCUAGGCAGCUAUUGGGUGUUCUGAGUGGUUGCUAGGCAGUUAUUAGUUGUUCUGAGAGGCAUCGGAGUGGUUGCUAGGCAGUUCUGAGAGAUUGUCAAGCAGUUAUUAGGUGUUUGCGUGGUUGCUAUAUGUGUUUUAGAUGUGGUUAGGUAGUUAUUGGGUGUUCUGAGUGGUUGCUAGGCAAUUGAUAUGUGUUUUGAGAGGUUGUUAGGUGGUUAUUAGGUUUUCUGAGUGGUUGCUAGGCAAUUGCGAUUUGUUUUGAGAGGUUGUCAGGCAGUUAUUUGGUGUUCUUAGUGAUUGCUAAGUACAAUUAUACUUAAUAAGACCAUUUUGUCUAUGGUUUUACAGCCUUUUUUUCGUAGUUAUCACUCAACAAAAUUGCAGUGUUUAACUAAAAUAUUUUUUUUAU